rnacentral:tmRNA from 1 species
GGGGUCGACAUGGUUUUGACAGCGUGUUUGGUCGGUUUGUAAGCAUGCCGAGUUAGGUGGCACUUCUCGUUAAACAGAGUUACAAAACACUAAAUGGCGAAAAUAAUUUUGCUCUUGCUGCUUAAUCGAAUAAAGUAGAUUAGCUUCAUCCUGCACCAGGUGCGGGACGAGACAUUCCGCGGAUGGUUUUGCCCGAUUCCGGUCCGAUAACGGGGUGCCGUUAAUUUUGGGAUAGUUACUCCGGUGCUUCGGAGGGGUAGCGAAAUAACAGAAGCUAAGGUUGUAUUAGGAUGCUUUUUUCCGGACACAACUCGAAAACCAAGAAGAAGAUAAGCAUGUAGAAAGCAAGUUGGUCGCAUGUUUGGACGUGGGUUCGAAUCCCACCGACUCCACCA